rnacentral:rRNA from 1 species
AAUUUUGUACAAUGAGGGAAACCCUGAUCCAGCCAUCCUGAGUGUCUGAUGAAGGCCUUCGGGUUGUAAAGUAAUUUUGGCAGAGAAGACAAGGUAUACCCUACUACGGGAUACUGCUGACGGUAUCUGCAGAAUCAGCACCGGCUAGCUACGUCCCAGCCGCCGCGGUAAUACGUAGGGUGCAAGCUUUAAUCUGAAUUACGGAGCGUAAAGCGUGUGUAGGCGGUUCGGAAAGAAAGUUGUGAGAUCCCAGGGAGCAACCUUUGAACUGCAUUUUUAACUGCCGAGAUAGAGUAUGUCAGAGAGGUGUAUAAUUCCACUUGUAGCAGUGAAAUGCGUAGAUAUGUGGAGGAAUACCGAUGGCGAAGGCAGCCCCCUUGGAUAAUACUGACCCGCAGACACGGAAGCAUGGGGAGCAAACAGG